rnacentral:tRNA from 1 species
UCCCUGGAAGACUAGCGGUUAGGCCACAGUGCUCUCAUCACUGUGGCCCGGGUUUGAUUCCCGGCCAGGGAA